UCAGAUCUUCUGCUAAAGAGAUGAGUACCUCUUGGAUUCCCAUUUGGCAAGAUUUUUCAAUCCUUCCUUCCUCUACUUUUGCCUGAAACUAGCUGCAUUAAGGGCAUCCUGGAUAUUAAACCGCAAUCAUCAACGUGCCUAAUACUUGUCAGACUGCCAGAUAUUCUACUACUAACUACAUACAAGAUGCACGGAAUGCAAAAGAUUAUAUGGACUAAUCUUUUCACAAGCAGCCAGACAGAUAAAAAGAUGUGUCUCUGAGUGGCAAGGAAACCCCUACUAUUUGUUCCAGGAAGGAGCAGUGUCACCUGUAGUGCAUAGACAACAUUGCACACAAAAAACAGACCCAUAGAUGAGCUACGGAAACAGAAUAAGCAAACCAUUUCAUUGAGAACAGAAGAAUAGAAUGUUUCAGCACAGGCCAGAAGAUUUAAAGGAUACACCACAGUUUAGUUGCAUUGUUUAAUAAGAAUAGAAAAAGAGAAAAAUAAUUGAAUGUAGUUACACAAGACUGCCUAGGCUUUUAUUUUUUAUCCUUACCAUUUCUCCACUCCACUACAGUAUCAUCCACUUUGUGCAGGCUUAAACCACAGAACCUGUCAAUAAUACACAUUGAUUCUCAAAUCUUGGAUGUCUCUCAUUUUUCCAUGUAGUUGAUGUUUUGAAGAGAAUACAAAUUCACACAGCUACCAGAUACAACUUACAAAUACUGUUUACUGGAUCCAGUGAAUUCUCUCUCCCCGGCUAACUGAAGAAGGCAGAAAACUAUUAGCUUUCUUGGUCAAUUUCACCUUCUGUCACCUACCUUACAAAGAUGCAAGU